GAUGAACGCUGGCGGCGUGCCUAAUACAUGCAAGUCGAGCGAACGGACGAGAAGCUUGCUUCUCUGAUGUUAGCGGCGGACGGGUGAGUAACACGUGGAUAACCUACCUAUAAGACUGGGAUAACUUCGGGAAACCGGAGCUAAUACCGGAUGAUAUUUUGAACCGCAUGGUUCAAAAGUGAAAGACGGUCUUGCUGUCACUUAUAGAUGGAUCCGCGCUGCAUUAGCUAGUUGGUAAGGUAACGGCUUACCAAGGCAACGAUGCAUAGCCGACCUGAGAGGGUGAUCGGCCACACUGGAACUGAGACACGGUCCAGACUCCUACGGGAGGCAGCAGUAGGGAAUCUUCCGCAAUGGGCGAAAGCCUGACGGAGCAACGCCGCGUGAGUGAUGAAGGUCUUCGGAUCGUAAAACUCUGUUAUUAGGGAAGAACAUAUGUGUAAGUAACUGUGCACAUCUUGACGGUACCUAAUCAGAAAGCCACGGCUAACUACGUGCCAGCAGCCGCGGUAAUACGUAGGUGGCAAGCGUUAUCCGGAAUUAUUGGGCGUAAAGCGCGCGUAGGCGGUUUUUUAAGUCUGAUGUGAAAGCCCACGGCUCAACCGUGGAGGGUCAUUGGAAACUGGAAAACUUGAGUGCAGAAGAGGAAAGUGGAAUUCCAUGUGUAGCGGUGAAAUGCGCAGAGAUAUGGAGGAACACCAGUGGCGAAGGCGACUUUCUGGUCCGUAACUGACGCUGAUGUGCGAAAGCGUGGGGAUCAAACAGGAUUAGAUACCCUGGUAGUCCACGCCGUAAACGAUGAGUGCUAAGUGUUAGGGGGUUUCCGCCCCUUAGUGCUGCAGCUAACGCAUUAAGCACUCCGCCUGGGGAGUACGACCGCAAGGUUGAAACUCAAAGGAAUUGACGGGGACCCGCACAAGCGGUGGAGCAUGUGGUUUAAUUCGAAGCAACGCGAAGAACCUUACCAAAUCUUGACAUCCUUUGACAACUCUAGAGAUAGAGCCUUCCCCUUCGGGGGACAAAGUGACAGGUGGUGCAUGGUUGUCGUCAGCUCGUGUCGUGAGAUGUUGGGUUAAGUCCCGCAACGAGCGCAACCCUUAAGCUUAGUUGCCAUCAUUAAGUUGGGCACUCUAAGUUGACUGCCGGUGACAAACCGGAGGAAGGUGGGGAUGACGUCAAAUCAUCAUGCCCCUUAUGAUUUGGGCUACACACGUGCUACAAUGGACAAUACAAAGGGCAGCGAAACCGCGAGGUCAAGCAAAUCCCAUAAAGUUGUUCUCAGUUCGGAUUGUAGUCUGCAACUCGACUACAUGAAGCUGGAAUCGCUAGUAAUCGUAGAUCAGCAUGCUGCGGUGAAUACGUUCCCGGGUCU
rnacentral:rRNA from 1 species